GGUUACCUUGUUACGACUUCACCCCAGUCAUUGACCACACCGUUGUAAGCAUCCUCCCGAAGGUUAGACGACCCACUUCUGGUGCAACCAACUCCCAUGGUGUGACUGGCGGUGUGUACAAGGCCCGGGAACGUAUUCACCGCCACAUUGCUGAUUCGCGAUUACUAGCGAUUCCGACUUCACAAUGUCGAAUUGCAAACUUCAAUCCGGACUGAGAACGGCUUUCUGAGAUUAGCUCCCCCUUGCGGGUUGGCGACCCUCUGUACCGUCCAUUGUAUCACGUGU
rnacentral:rRNA from 1 species